AGACUACCUCAAAGAUGGUGUAAUUUACAAGCGGGCUUAGGUGAUGCUCAGGAUGUAAAUGACGAUGGACGCCACUUAUCCCACAUACGCCAUCCACUUAAAAGAGGCUAAAUGGCGUAUAUAGAUGCCCAUUUAAAUUAAGUGAAUCACAUGAACAGACCAUCAGAGCCCACAUACGCCGGUGGCAGCCAAAACGAAAUCCUCUAACCCUUAACCCUUGCUCUGAAGUUCUGACGGCGCGGAGAGAUCCAGAAGAUAGAAGUCGUUGUAGCAGGGGAGCUGGUCCGGCGCAGCUGAGGAGGCGGGUGACGCCGUCGGGGUGCCCCGCCUUGCGCAUGAUGUGGAAGUAUUUGCCACACUCCAUCGAGAAGAGCGUGUGCAGUCGUCGCCCCUCCCCGGCGGCAUACACCACAGCCAGCCACAGCAAUAACAAGAGGAGGAGCGUGACCACCGUCAUUGCUAGUGGUGUGGCGGAUCUCGUGCCCGGAUCCUACCUUCGGUUUCUCGUUGCUUUGUAUCCAACCCUAUGAUCCUGAAGGAGCAGAGUGUUCAGGGGGCGAGCAGAGUGUUCAGGCGGCCAACAGAACCCCUCGAGGAGGCGGGAUUGAGAAUAGAUUUCCAGUGUUUAUGUAUGUGUUGGCAAGGUCGAAGAUCUGGUUGCAUCGGCUAGCUGUACGCCGGCGAGCUGCUUAGUACCACAACCCCUUCGUUUGCUCCUGCAAGCUUCCGCAACCAUUCUCUUUGGGUUGAUUCUGCAUCAAGUGGUCAUAUGUGGACGCCACAAUACCCACAUAAAGAUUAAGUAGACUUUAACAUAAUCCCGUAUAAACACUAAUGGUUGAUACGGGCAAGUCCCAUAUUGUCCAGCUAACUGUCCACUUACAUCCAGAGGUGAUGCCUCUUCCAAAUGCGUCCUAACUUUUAUCACACCUUGCAGGAGCCAUAUGAUGAAGUCGUGCGAGCUCUCAAAAAUUUCCGGCAUCGUACGAUUUCUCGAGGAUUCAAACGCUUGCCUUAGGCAUAUUGUCGAGAUUGAAGAUUGACGAAUUCAAAAAAGUAGGAAUCUUCAACGUUGGGUUCAUUAGCCAGAUGCCGUAAAUGAAUGGACGUGCAUGUACUAGAAAGAAGAGACUGUUUUAUGUGCAUACUACGUAUGCGAGUUCAUUCGCCUCUCGACCUCUGAGCGGGGCUUCUCCGAGAAACAAUUGAAAAUCGGACACAUGUGGGAUGAACUCCUACCACAUGAUCACA